rnacentral:lncRNA from 1 species
AGAUAUGUGUCAUCUAUAUGAAUACACAUUCACCUGUAGUAAUCUUGAAAAAGCAAGUGUCUUUCAUUCUGUUUUGUACAUUUGGACCACAUUUUUGAAAGUGUACUAGGAGAACAGUCAUUGUGCUUUUGUAUUUACGGUAACAUAUGAACACUCUAGGGAAUUCUUAAUCAAAAUUUUUCAAAUUGAAAAAGGUAAACAAAGCCAGUGUAAUUUCUACCGCACUCUGUCUUUCAGAUUUGGUCUUAAGAACACAGAUUUUUGAAAAUAAUGCCAGUAGAAUUAAGAGUUAUUUAAAACUACAAUUUUUUUUCUAUUUUUUAAUCAUUGAAACCACAGUUUUAUAAAUCACAGGUGCUGUUAUUUUGCUAGUUUUGAAUGAACAUGUUUGGUAUCAGGAGGCAAUUAAUCCAUACACAUCUAAACAUGCCCUUAUACUUCCAUUUCCUGUGUUGAAUUAUGUGAAAAAAAAAUGCCCAAAGCUGACACUGAAAAAUGGUAGAAGUGGUGAAACUUUAGACUAUGUUAGUAUAUAAUGCAAAUAUCUGAUUUUCAUAUGCAUAUGGAGUAUUACAAGAAUAUACAUACUUCAAAGGUUUUGAUGAAGUUUAGAUAGUAUAGAAUUUUGUAAUAUAGGUUUUUACCAUUCUAAUUUUUUGAGCAUGGGAAAGUAGCUGUGUCCUAAUCUGGUAUGUGUCUGCAAUAGUGUCCAGGAAGAACUGCUACAUCUGGUUGGUUCAUCACAAGCAUAAUCAAGCUCAAGUGAGAAUAAGAGCUCAACUCCAACCCUCUUUUGAGUAAUUUUCACAACCAAAGAGUUACUUAAAAAAAAAAAAGUAUCUUGUAUGCACCAGAAUGUUAAGCCUUGCAAUCAUUUGAAAACACCUG